rnacentral:rRNA from 1 species
AGUGGCGAACGGGUGAGUAAUAUAUCGGAACGUGCCCAGUAGUGGGGGAUAGCCCGGCGAAAGCCGGAUUAAUACCGCAUACGACCUGUGGGUGAAAGCGGGGGAUCGCAAGACCUCGCGCUAUUGGAGCGGCCGAUAUCAGAUUAGCUAGUUGGUGGGGUAAAGGCCUACCAAGGCGACGAUCUGUAGCUGGUCUGAGAGGACGACCAGCCACACUGGGACUGAGACACGGCCCAGACUCCUACGGGAGGCAGCAGUGGGGAAUUUUGGACAAUGGGCGCAAGCCUGAUCCAGCCAUGCCGCGUGUGGGAAGAAGGCCUUCGGGUUGUAAACCACUUUUGUCAGGGAAGAAACGGCCUUUUCUAAUACAGGGGGCUAAUGACGGUACCUGAAGAAUAAGCACCGGCUAACUACGUGCCAGCAGCCGCGGUAAUACGUAGGGUGCAAGCGUUAAUCGGAAUUACUGGGCGUAAAGCGUGCGCAGGCGGCUUUGCAAGACAGAUGUGAAAUCCCCGGGCUCAACCUGGGAACUGCAUUUGUGACUGCAUGGCUAGAGUACGGUAGAGGGGGAUGGAAUUCCGCGUGUAGCAGUGAAAUGCGUAGAUAUGCGGAGGACACCGAUGGCGAAGGCAAUCCCCUGGACCUGUACUGACGCUCAUGCACGAAAGCGUUGGGAGCAACAGAUUUAGAUACCCUGGUAGUCCACG